UCGCGCUGGUUAACGUUCGUUUGGGGGUUUCUUUGUCCGUCACACUUUGGUGAUUCAGAAGCCCGCUAACGGUUUUUGUUGUUUGUUUUUUUUAAAUCACCGGGACAGUUUGGAUUAAUGCCAUCGGAAGCCCAAAGGACGCCAGUGAAGUCGACGUCCACGCGUUAUAACGUGGCUCUUUUGUCGACUUCACGUUCGUUCUCACCGAACAGGAGUUCUACUCGACCGGACCGUAACGCAGCCUCACCUCCACCAAGGACCUGAAUGGCCUCCAUUGUUGCGGUGAAAAGCGAGAAGCGACCCGCGGCUGACUCUCAGGAUGCAGACACAAAUGCCAAAAAGCCCAGGAAACUGCUACCCAGCCUGAAGACCAAGCGGGCGCCCGAGCUCGUGCUGGUGAUCGGCACGGGGGUGAGCUCCGCAGUGGCCCCCCAGGUCCCCGCGCUCCGCUCCUGGAAGGGCCUCAUCCAGGCCUUGCUUGACGCGGCCAAUGAUUUUGACCUACUAGAGGAGGAGGAGAGUCGGCGCUUCCAGAAGCACAUGCAAGAAGAUAAGAAUUUGGUUCAUGUGGCCCAUGACCUCAUUCAGAAACUGUCCCCGAGGACAGGUAACGUGCGAUCCACGUUCUUCAAGGACUGUCUGUACGAGGUGUUUGACGACUUGGAGUGCAAGAUGGAGCACGCCGGGAAGCAUCUGCUGCGCUCGGUGCUGCAGCUGAUGGAGAGCGGCGCCCUGGUCCUCACCACCAACUUUGACAACCUGCUGGAGAUCUACGCGGCUCACCAGGGCACCAAGCUGGAGUCUCUGGACCUGACGGACGAGAAGAAGGUGUUGGAGUGGGCCCAGGAGAAGCGGAGGUUAAGUGUUCUGCAUAUCCAUGGUGUGUACACCAACCCCAGCGGGAUUGUACUGCACCCUGCAGGCUACCAGAACGUCCUGAGGAACACCGAAGUCAUGCGCGAGAUCCAGAAGCUGUACGAGACCAAGUCCUUUGUGUUCCUGGGCUGCGGGCGCACGGUGGACGACACCACCUUCCAGGCGCUGUUCCUGGAGGCGGUCAAGCACAAGUCGGACCUGGAACACUUCAUGCUGGUGCGGCGGGAGGACGUGGGCGAGUUCAAGAAGCUGCGGGACAACAUGCUGGACAAGGGCAUCAAGGUCAUCUCCUAUGGAGACGAGUACGCCGACCUGCCCGAGUACUUCGAGAGGCUGGCCAACGAGAUCUGCAACCGCGACGUGUCCACCAACGGCUGGGCCUCCUGCGAGUGCCCCACCCUAAUGGGAGUGUAAUACUAAAUCGCUGGUGCGCCCCCUUAAAAAUGUCUUACUGGCGGCUUCUGCUGUUCCAACCGGGUCUCCUUCACAAAGUGGGGAAGAACAGCCGAACGGCUUUAACACACAGAAAAGCCUCCUUCAAGGUUAGGACUCAAUGCUUCUUUGAUUUCAGGCAGUGGCCACUUGCAAAGGACACUUCCACGCUGUUACAAUAAAAGCACCGGCAAAGGCUCUUGUUUUCUUACUGCAUGCUGGUAGAUCGAAAACUUUCAGUGUCAAAGCUCCUGCUGGUUUGCCUUUACAAAGACGCCGCUGACUUUGCAGUAUUGCAUGCAUGCCAGUCAUGUCAGUUUCUCAACCUCCCACUUAAGUCACCUUCCUUCUUCUUUUUGCCCCAGACCAUCAUUCGUGACAGGCACACAGUCGGGAUCAGUAAGAGUCGUUUUCCUUCACAGCUGCACCGUGACAUCAGUCUGAUUUCAAAUUGAUGGGUUUAGGAAUCUAAGGAGACCUAAAAGUUGUUUACGAGUGUCUGGUUUUUACUUGUUUCUAUGACUUCCGGAGUAAAAGGGAAAGGAGAAGUUUAACAGUAACCGUCAAGGCCAUAAAAAGAAAAAAACAACCUCACAGCGCCGCUGCAGUGAACGUUUGGAAUACUCCGAUGGAUAAAUGAGUCCAGACAGACACGACGGCGCCGCGUCGAUUCAUUUUGAUUUCAUUUCAAACAUCACCUCGACCUACCCGCCGCACAGAGGAGGCCUUUUCUCGAGUUGACACCUGGCGCCGCCUUGACCUGCAGCCAGUAGAACUGGACUUGGGAACUGGGACGGACGUUACUCGGUUGGCUUUCAUCGCCAACGUCUCUCAGCCAGCAUCACUCUGCCACUCCUUUGCUGAAUAUGUUCUUUGUAAGCCUUUUUUUAAUACUUGCAUGUAUUUUCUGACAUAGUAUUUAUAAGUACUAUUUUCAAAAUAAAGCUUUUGAUAACCCA